rnacentral:rRNA from 1 species
UGUGGUGAUGAUGGCUUGAAGGAUACACCUGUACCCAUGCCGAACACAGAAGUUAAGCUUCAA